AACGGCCGUACCAUGCUGAAUAUACCGGUUCUCGUUAGAUCACCGAAGUCAAGCAUCAUUGGGCGCGGUCAGUACUUGGGUGGGUGACCACCUGGGAACACCGCGUGCCGUCG